UACGGAGGGGGCUAGCGUUGUUCGGAAUUACUGGGCGUAAAGCGCACGUAGGCGGCUUGGUAAGUUAGAGGUGAAAGCCCGGGGCUCAACCCCGGAAUUGCCUUUAAGACUGCCGGGCUAGCAGGUGAGAGAGGUGAGUGGAAUUCCGAGUGUAGAGGUGAAAUUCGUAGAUAUUCGGAAGAACACCAGUGGCGAAGGCGGCUCACUGGCUCAUACUGGACGCUGAGGUGCGAAAGCGUGGGGAGCAAACAGG
rnacentral:rRNA from 1 species